GAUCAUGGCUCAGGACGAACGCUGGCGGCACGCUUAACACAUGCAAGUCGAACGAGAGAAGAGAAGCUUGCUUUUCUGAUCUAGUGGCGGACGGGUGAGUAACACGUGAGCAAUCUGCCUUUCAGAGGGGGAGUACCGAUUGGAAACGAUCGUUAAUACCGCAUAAUAUAAUUGAACCGCAUGAUUUGAUUAUCAAAGAAUUUAUUCGCUGAAAGAAUGAGCUCGCGU
rnacentral:rRNA from 1 species